CUAGGAAUCUUGGGAAUGGGCGAAAGCCUGACCCAGCAACGCCGCGUGGGCGAUGAAGGCCUUCGGGUCGUAAAGCCCUUUUGCAGGGGACGAUGAUGACGGUACCCUGCGAAUAAGCCACGGCUAACUACGUGCCAGCAGCCGCGGUAAUACGUAGGUGGCAAGCGUUGUCCGGAUUUACUGGGCGUAAAGGGCGUGCAGGCGGUUUGUUAAGUCUAGGGUGAAAGCUCCCGGCUCAACUGGGAGAGGUCCUUGGAUACUGGCAGACUUGAGGAGGGUAGAGGAGAGUGGAAUUCCCGGUGUAGUGGUGAUAUGCGUAGAUAUCGGGAGGAACACCAGUGGCGAAGGCGGCUCUCUGGGCCCUACCUGACGCUGAGACGCGAAAGCGUGGGGAGCGAACCGGAUUAGAUACCCCUGUAGUCC
rnacentral:rRNA from 1 species